CUCUUACACAUCUCUAUGCUGGACCGAAGUUAACUCCAAAAAGAAUUGUAGAAAUACAGAAUUUGAGGUGAGUUACAUUUACACUUUAUAUAUUGCUAUUAUCUUUCAUUUUUUUCAUUUGCAUUUCUUUGAGAAUUUCUACACAACACUUAUAGGAAGGACAAAUUAUCUGUUAUAUUAUGGGACAAGUUUGCAACGGACUUUGAUGAAGAUGCAAUCAUGAAUAAAGAAAAAGAUAUUCCUGUUAUUAUCAUAUUUGUAGGAAUGACAAUUAAAACUUUCAAAGGUUAGAUUUAUAUUUUUUUGUUUUCUAUCUUUAUUUUCUAUUAAAAAAUGUUGUAUGCUAUUAACGCCAUUGUAUAUAUAAUUAUAACCUACAUUUUUUUGUUGAUUUUACAUCUCUAGAAAAAGUGUACCUAUGCACUUCAUCAGCAUCAAGAUUUUAUGUGAACUUGCAAAUUCCAGCAGUCGAAGAAUUUCAUCUCAGGUUUGAAAGUUUUUUUUCUUAUUUAUACACAAUUAUACAUUUAUAUUUAUAAGUCUAAUGAUGCAGACUACAAUCACAAACUUACCAAAUACAAUUGGUAGAAGAAAAAAAUUAACCAAUUCUCACUUUAGAGGAAGAAAUAGCUACAAAUACAAAGUCACUUGCAGAACUGCUGAAACUUGAUUGGCAACACUUUCAAGUAAGAAAUCAAUACAUAUUUUCUUGCUUUUAUACUUAUUUUACAAUACAAUUUUUCCUUCCAUUAUACCACACUUUGAAUUGUACCUAAUCACACAUUACAAAAAAUUUAAAGUUUAUGUUUACUAUUAUUUCUUAGGGUACAAAAUUUAUCUGUAAAGCUCAACUAAAAUCCAUUGACACAACAUAUGGAUGGUGGUAUCGAGCUUGCUAUCGAUGUAAAUGUGCAGUCAGAAAUUAUGGAGAAACUUUUUGCUGCAGC
rnacentral:lncRNA from 1 species